GAGAGAACACAGGAGAAGAGAGGAGAGUAACCAAUCACAUCAUCCCUGACUGCUUCAGCUCACCUACACUGUAGCUAACUUCUUCUCAUUACAUAAUAUAUUAACAUCCCAUCUCCAUCAGGGAUAUAUUAUUCAUUACUAACUGGGUGGUUCGAGCCCUGAAAGCUGAUUGGCUGACAGCAGUGUUAUAUCAGUAUACCACAGGUUUGACAAAACAUUUUUAUUGCUCUAAUUACGUUGGUAACCGGUUUAUAAUAGCAUUAAAGUACCACUGGGGGUUGUGGUAUAUGGCCAAUAUACAACAGCUAAGGGAUGUAUCUAGGCACUCCACGUUGCGUUGUGCAUAAGAACAGCCCUUAGCCGUGGUAUCGACCAUAUACCACACCCCCUCGGGCCUUAUUGCUUAAUUGACCAUCAUUCAGUGAAAGCACUGGGAGUACGACUGUAGCGAACACACAUAACCAUAUCCUGGUAACGGAUGACCUUCUUCCUGCUGCUAUCAGCAACAUCUGUUAAGUCGGUUUCUAUACGCACUGAAGACAACAGGACAGUGUCAGGUACAUAAUACCAUAUGACAGGAGAACUGUGGGUUGAAAUCUUAAAGACUAUCCUUAUUAAAAUGGGAGUAUUCAUUAGCUGUAGGUUGCACAGAAAAUCUGUUGUUCAAAAUGAUACAACACCCCAGGUUAAAGUAGGUAGCAUGUUAAAGUAGGUAGCAGGAUGUAGCAGGUUAAAGUAGGUAGCAUGUUAAAGUAGGUAGCAGGAUGUAGCAGGUUAAAGUAGGUAGCGGGUUAAAGUAGGUAGCAGGGUAAAGUAGGUAGCAGGUUGUAGCAGGUUAAAGUAGGUAGCAGGUUGUAGCAGGUUAAAGUAGGUAGCAGGUUAAAGUAGGUAGCAGGUUAAAGUAGGUAGCAGGUUAAAGUAGGUAGCAGGUUAAAGUAGGUAGCAGGUUAAAGUAGGUAGCAGGUUAAAGUAGGUAGCAGGUUAAAGUAGGUAGCAGGUUAAAAUAGGUAGCAGGUUAAAAUAGGUAGCAGGUUAAAGUUGGUAGCAGAUUACUAUAUUGCAUGGAAUAGAUUGUGCCCUGACC